rnacentral:rRNA from 1 species
AUGCAUGAUGGCCAUUUUUUGAAGACUAGCUGCGGGAGUUUAAACUAUGCCACACCAGAGGUUUUCUCAGGUGAGUUGUAUGCUGGACCUGAGGUUGAUGUUUGGAGCUGUGGGGUGAUACUUUAUGCUCUUCUUUGUGGUGCGGUUCCAUUCGAUGAUGACAACAUUCCCAAAUUGUUCAAUAAGAUAAAGGGAGGUUUCUAUAUCCUUUCAAAUCAUUUAUCUGAUCUAGCAAUGGAUUUGAUCCCAAGAAUGCGUAUUGUUGAUCCCAUGAAGAGAAUCAGAAUCCAUGAAAUUCGAGACCACCCAUGGUUUCAGGAUCGCCUUCCUCGCUACCUGGCAAUGCCUCCACCAAACACAGCACAACAAAGCCAAAAUGAUUGA